rnacentral:rRNA from 1 species
UACGGAGGGUGCGAGCGUUAUUCGGAAUUACUGGGCGUAAAGCGUGCGCAGACGGUCAUGUAAGUCGGGUGUGAAAGCCCCGGGCUCAACCUGGGAAUUGCAUUCGAGACUGUGUGGCUAGGGUGCGGGAGAGGGAAGCGGAAUUUCCGGUGUAGCGGUGAAAUGCGUAGAUAUCGGAAGGAACACCAGUGGCGAAAGCGGCUUCCUGGUCCAGCACCGACGUUCAGGCACGAAAGCGUGGGGAGCAAACAGG